AUGAACGCUGACAGAAUGCUUAACACAUGCAAGUCUACUUGAACUUCGGUUUGGGUGGCGGACGGGUGAGUAACGCGUAAAGAACUUGCCUCACAGAUAGGGGCAACAUUUGGAAACGAAUGCUAAUACCUGAUAUUAUGAUUUUAGGGCAUCCUAGAAUUAUGAAAGCUAUAUGCACUGUGAGAGAGCUUUGCGUCCCAUUAGCUAGUUGGAGAGGUAACGGCUCACCAAGGCGAUGAUGGGUAGCCGGCCUGAGAGGGUGAUCGGCCACAAGGGGACUGAGACACGGCCCUUACUCCUACGGGAGGCAGCAGUGGGGAAUAUUGGACAAUGGACCAAGAGUCUGAUCCAGCAAUUCUGUGUGCACGAUGAAGUUUUUCGGAAUGUAAAGUGCUUUCAGUUGGGAAGAAAAAAAUGACGGUACCAACAGAAGAAGUGACGGCUAAAUACGUG
rnacentral:rRNA from 1 species